CCCCUCUCAGGGUCGCAUCUGGAGAGUUUCCAGUACUCUAUCAGUCUCGGCUAUGGGAAGGAGAGUCAAGCAGAGGCAUACCCAUUCCAUUUCUAGCUUGGACAGUGGCUAGAGGGUGGAAGGUAAUCUGCUACAAGU
rnacentral:snoRNA from 2 species